GACGAACGCUGGCGGCGUGCCUAAUACAUGCAAGUAGAACGCUGAAGAGAGGAGCUUGCUCUUCUUGGAUGAGUUGCGAACGGGUGAGUAACGCGUAGGUAACCUGCCUUGUAGCGGGGGAUAACUAUUGGAAACGAUAGCUAAUACCGCAUAACAAUGGAUGACACAUGUCAUUUAUUUGAAAGGGGCAAUUGCUCCACUACAAGAUGGACCUGCGUUGUAUUAGCUAGUAGGUGAGGUAAUGGCUCACCUAGGCGACGAUACAUAGCCGACCUGAGAGGGUGAUCGGCCACCCUGGGACUGGGACACGGCCCAGACUCCUACGGGAGGCAGCAGUAGGGAAUCUUCGGCAAUGGGGGCAACCCUGACCGAGCAACGCCGCGUGAGUGAAGAAGGUUUUCGGAUCGUAAAGCUCUGUUGUAAGUCAAGAACGGGUGUGAGAGUGGAAAGUUCACACUGUGACGGUAGCUUACCAGAAAGGGACGGCUAACUACGUG
rnacentral:rRNA from 1 species